UGUUCGACACCGGAGAGGGAGCCUGAGAAACGGCUACCACAUCCAAGGAAGGCAGCAGGCGCGCAAAUUACCCACUCUCGGCACGAGGAGGUAGUGACGAAAAAUAACGAGGCGGUUCUCUAAGAGGCCCGCUAUCGGAAUGGGUACAAUUUAAACCCUUUAACGAGGACCUAUGAGAGGGCAAGUCUGGUGCCAGCAGCCGCGGUAAUUCCAGCUCUCAAGGUGUAUAUCGCCAUUGCUGCGGUUAAAAAGCUCGUAGUUGGAUCUGCGCCUUCGGACUCGGUCCUCCCAACGGGUGCGAACUGAGCUCCAAGGCUACUACUGCUGGUUUUCCCUUGAUGCUCUUCACUGGGUGUCUUGGGUGGCUAGCGAGUUUUACUUUGAAAAAAUUAGAGUGCUCAAAACAGGCUAUUGCCUGAAUACCGGUGCAUGGAAUAAUAGAAUAGGAUCUCGGUCCUAUUUUGUUGGUUUUCGGAACUGAGAUAAUGGUUAAGAGGGACAGACGGGGGCAUUCGUAUCGCUGCGUGAGAGGUGAAAUUCUUGGACCGCAGCGAGACGCCCAACUGCGAAAGCAUUUGCCAAGAAUGUCUUCGUUAAUCAAGAACGAAAGUCAGAGGUUCGAAGGCGAUCAGAUACCGCCCUAGUUCUGACCGUAAACGAUGCCAACUAGCGAUCCGCCGGUGGUAAUUACGCCCCGGCGGGGAGCUUCCCGGAAACGAAAGCCUUCCGGUUCCGGGGGAAGUAUGGUUGCAAAGCUGAAACUUAAAGGAAUUGACGGAAGGGCACCACCAGGAGUGGAGCUUGCGGCUUAAUUUGACCCAACGCGGGAAAACUCACCCGGCCCGGACACCGUAAGGAUUGACAGAUUGAGAGCUCUUUCUUGAUUCGGUGGUUGGUGGUGCAUGGCCGUUCUUAGUUGGUGGAGCGAUUUGUCUGGUUUAUCCCUAUAACGAGCGAGACUCUGGCCUACUAACUAGUGACAGAAUUAUUGCUGUUCUGGUUACUUCUUAGAGGGACAAGUGGUGUUCAGCCACACGAAAUUGAGCAAUAACAGGUCUGUGAUGCCCUUAGAUGUCCGGGGCUGCACGCGUGCUACACUGGAGGAAACAGCAUGCAAAACCAUUGCCGAGAGGCAUUGGUAAACCCAAGAAAAUCUUCCGUGAUCGGGAUCGGGAAUUGCAAUUAUUUCCCUUGAACGAGGAAUUCCCAGUAAGUGUGGGUCAUCAGCUCGCGCUGAUUACGUCCCUGCCCUUUGUACACACCGCCCGUCGCUGCCCGGGACUGAGCCGUUUCGAGAAAAGCGGGGACUGCUGCUGUCGGGGCUUUCGGGCCUUGGCUUCGGUGGAAACCGCUUUAAUCGCAGUGGCUUGAACCGGGCAAAAGUCGUAACAAGGUU
rnacentral:rRNA from 1 species